GUAUAAUGAUGAUAACCAUGCGUGUCAGCUGACUCUGUAACCCUCUGCUGUCUUGUUGCUGUGGUCGGCGUUUUGUUGGCCAGAGUUUUCAUCACAGCAGAGCUGCAGAGACGUGAUCAUAUUUCACUACUUCUGAAUAC
rfam:Gasterosteus aculeatus cont1.007265, whole genome shotgun sequence.